rnacentral:rRNA from 1 species
UACGUAGGUCCCGAGCGUUGUCCGGAUUUAUUGGGCGUAAAGGGAACGCAGGCGGUCUUUUAAGUCUGAUGUGAAAGCCUUCGGCCUAACCGGAGUAGUGCAUUGGAAACUGGGAGACUUGAGUGCAGAAGAGGAGAGUGGAACUCCAUGUGUAGCGGUGAAAUGCGUAGAUAUAUGGAAGAACACCAGUGGCGAAAGCGGCUCUCUGGUCUGUAACUGACGCUGAGGUUCGAAAGCGUGGGUAGCAAACAGG